GGGUUGUGAGGUUAAGCGACUAAGCGUACACGGUGGAUGCCCUGGCAGUCAGAGGCGAUGAAGGACGUGCUAAUCUGCGAAAAGCGUCGGUAAGGUGAUAUGAACCGUUAUAACCGGCGAUGUCCGAAUGGGGAAACCCAGUGCAAUUCGUUGCACUAUCGUUAACUGAAUACAUAGGUUAACGAGGCGAACCGGGGGAACUGAAACAUCUAAGUACCCCGAGGAAAAGAAAUCAACCGAGAUUCCCCCAGUAGCGGCGAGCGAACGGGGAGCAGCCCAGAGUCUGAAUCAGCUUGUGUGUUAGUGGAACGGUCUGGAAAGUCCGACGGUACAGGGUGAUAGUCCCGUACACCAAAAUGCACAGGCUGUGAACUCGAAGAGUAGGGCGGGACACGUGGUAUCCUGUCUGAAUAUGGGGGGACCAUCCUCCAAGGCUAAAUACUCCUGACUGACCGAUAGUGAACCAGUACCGUGAGGGAAAGGCGAAAAGAACCCCGGCGAGGGGAGUGAAAAAGAACCUGAAACCGUGUACGUACAAGCAGUGGGAGCACCUUCGGGUGUGACUGCGUACCUUUUGUAUAAUGGGUCAGCGACUUAUAUUCUGUAGCAAGGUUAACCGUAUAGGGGAGCCGCAGGGAAACCGAGUCUUAACUGGGCGUUAAGUUGCAGGGUAUAGACCCGAAACCCGGUGAUCUAGCCAUGGGCAGGUUGAAGGUUGGGUAACACUAACUGGAGGACCGAACCGACUAAUGUUGAAAAAUUAGCGGAUGACUUGUGGCUGGGGGUGAAAGGCCAAUCAAACCGGGAGAUAGCUGGUUCUCCCCGAAAGCUAUUUAGGUAGCGCCUCGUGAAUUCAUCUUCGGGGGUAGAGCACUGUUUCGGCUAGGGGGUCAUCCCGACUUACCAACCCGAUGCAAACUACGAAUACCGAAGAAUGUUAUCACGGGAGACACACGGCGGGUGCUAACGUCCGUCGUGAAGAGGGAAACAACCCAGACCGCCAGCUAAGGUCCCAAAGUCAUGGUUAAGUGGGAAACGAUGUGGGAAGGCACAGACAGCCAGGAUGUUGGCUUAGAAGCAGCCAUCAUUUAAAGAAAGCGUAAUAGCUCACUGGUCGAGUCGGCCUGCGCGGAAGAUGUAACGGGGCUAAACCAUGCACCGAAGCUGCGGCAGCGACACUAUGUGUUGUUGGGUAGGGGAGCGUUCUGUAAGCCUGCGAAGGUGUGCUGUGAGGCAUGCUGGAGGUAUCAGAAGUGCGAAUGCUGACAUAAGUAACGAUAAAGCGGGUGAAAAGCCCGCUCGCCGGAAGACCAAGGGUUCCUGUCCAACGUUAAUCGGGGCAGGGUGAGUCGACCCCUAAGGCGAGGCCGAAAGGCGUAGUCGAUGGGAAACAGGUUAAUAUUCCUGUACUUGGUGUUACUGCGAAGGGGGGACGGAGAAGGCUAUGUUAGCCGGGCGACGGUUGUCCCGGUUUAAGCAUGUAGGCUGAUUGUCCAGGCAAAUCCGGAUAAUCAAGGCUGAGGUGUGAUGACGAGGCACUACGGUGCUGAAGUAACAAAUGCCCUGCUUCCAGGAAAAGCCUCUAAGCAUCAGGUAACAUCAAAUCGUACCCCAAACCGACACAGGUGGUCAGGUAGAGAAUACCAAGGCGCUUGAGAGAACUCGGGUGAAGGAACUAGGCAAAAUGGUGCCGUAACUUCGGGAGAAGGCACGCUGGUGUGUAGGUGAAGUCCCUGCGGAUGGAGCUGAGACCAGUCGAAGAUACCAGCUGGCUGCAACUGUUUAUUAAAAACACAGCACUGUGCAAACACGAAAGUGGACGUAUACGGUGUGACGCCUGCCCGGUGCCGGAAGGUUAAUUGAUGGGGUUAUCCGUAAGGAGAAGCUCUUGAUCGAAGCCCCGGUAAACGGCGGCCGUAACUAUAACGGUCCUAAGGUAGCGAAAUUCCUUGUCGGGUAAGUUCCGACCUGCACGAAUGGCGUAAUGAUGGCCAGGCUGUCUCCACCCGAGACUCAGUGAAAUUGAACUCGCUGUGAAGAUGCAGUGUACCCGCGGCAAGACGGAAAGACCCCGUGAACCUUUACUAUAGCUUGACACUGAACAUUGAGCCUUGAUGUGUAGGAUAGGUGGGAGGCUUUGAAGCGUGGACGCCAGUCUGCGUGGAGCCAACCUUGAAAUACCACCCUUUAAUGUUUGAUGUUCUAACGUUGGCCCCUUACCGGGGUUGCGGACAGUGUCUGGUGGGUAGUUUGACUGGGGCGGUCUCCUCCCAAAGCGUAACGGAGGAGCACGAAGGUUAGCUAAUCCUGGUCGGACAUCAGGAGGUUAGUGCAAUGGCAUAAGCUAGCUUGACUGCGAGCGUGACGGCGCGAGCAGGUGCGAAAGCAGGUCAUAGUGAUCCGGUGGUUCUGAAUGGAAGGGCCAUCGCUCAACGGAUAAAAGGUACUCCGGGGAUAACAGGCUGAUACCGCCCAAGAGUUCAUAUCGACGGCGGUGUUUGGCACCUCGAUGUCGGCUCAUCACAUCCUGGGGCUGAAGUAGGUCCCAAGGGUAUGGCUGUUCGCCAUUUAAAGUGGUACGCGAGCUGGGUUUAGAACGUCGUGAGACAGUUCGGUCCCUAUCUGCCGUGGGCGCUGGAGAAUUGAGGGGGGCUGCUCCUAGUACGAGAGGACCGGAGUGGACGCAUCACUGGUGUUCGGGUUGUCAUGCCAAUGGCACUGCCCGGUAGCUAAAUGCGGAAGAGAUAAGUGCUGAAAGCAUCUAAGCACGAAACUUGCCCCGAGAUGAGUUCUCCCUGAGACUUUAAGUCUCCUGAAGGAACGUUAAAGACGAUGACGUUGAUAGGCCGGGUGUGUAAGCGCAGCGAUGCGUUGAGCUAACCGGUACUAAUGAACCGUGAGGCUUAACCUUACAACGCCGAAG
rnacentral:rRNA from 2 species